AACGAAGAAGAAGCUGAAGCGAAGGAAAAGUCACGUGAUUCUCCUUGACUUGACAGCCGUGUAAAUCUCUUCCUGGUGCUAAAGCAAGCACUCAGAGGACACAAUGCCAGAAGUCAAGUCAAUAUUCAGAGAAGUUCUGCCAAAACAAGGGCAACUUUCCAUGGAAGAUGUACCUACCAUGGUUCUGUGUAAGCCAAAGCUGCUCCCACUCAAAUCAGUCACUCUAGAGAAACUGGAGAAGAUGCAGAUGGAAGCUCAAGAGGCUGUCAAGCAGCAGGAACUGGCAAUAAAGGAGCAGUUGCAGUAGACGCCCAAUGAAAUAUUCAAAACCGCAGGAAUGGUCAAACUGGGAGCAAACUCCUUUAGAUGGAUGGCAUAGAUCCAGAGUUUUCACACACAGAUAAGAGAGUACUUGCAUGGACAGCCAAGUGCAAUUUGAAGAACUGACUGUUUUGCUUCAUAGAGCAGAUAAGGUAAGGAGCGAGCAGUCACCUGAGCUUAACCACUCAACUCUUUUGAAAGUAAGGAUUACAUCUAUUCCUUGCCAGAUUUACCAGUGUGGCUGGCUAUGAAGAUCGGUGUACUUCUUUUCUACUCUGUUUGUAUUAUUGCAUCUGUAAUUUGGAAUCAAUGCAUACAACAUUUAACAGCUUUCUUUUUGAGUGAAUAUAGGGCACCGCAAUUGAUGUGUCGGAUCAAAGAAGUCGUAAGAUGUAGUUUGUGUUGCGUGUUGAUAGUGUGACAGUCACAAAAACACAGUCUUGGAUUUGUUAAUAGUGAUUUAAUGAACAAACAAGGAGCAAUACGUGGUACAUUUCACACACCAGUAUGCCCCAGAUAUAAAAAUAAACAUUCUAAACACCA